ensembl:snoRNA
UGGAUCAAUGAUAACUCUAGGCAUAGGAUUCACGUAUGAUGAAUGAUAUAUGUCUGGACCUCUGAGGUCCAA